GUGAAGGACUUUUGCCUGAUGUGGGAGGCAGUGAGGGGACUGUUACCCACUGUGCACACGAGCAGAGCAUGUUUGUGUGUUACAGUCCCUCUCUGAGGUAAUUUUUUGACCCUUGUGUCCAGUUUCAGUCGUAUGGGUCACGGCCGCCAGGCUCUCGUACAUGCAGCUGCCUGUGUUGGAGGAUGGAUGCUGUUAACACAGCACGCUGUGCCAUGGUGACUCUGGGGUCGUCAGGGCUUGCUGCUGGUGUGUGCCUCCACACAGACCCUCUGCUGCAGGCAGCAUGAGCUCCUGCUGGGUGCAUGGUGCUUGUAGAGGUAAGGCUCUGAUUUACACCUCAGAUGUGGCAUUAAAGGCAUGACUAUAGGUAUUUCAGCUCUGAAACACACACUGCAGCACAGCAGGCUUCUUUCUAAAGAAGUCUUCUGAUCUGUAAAUUAUCAGCAUUGAGGCAGCAGAAGCAAAGCGGAUUUCCCUUUGUUGUUUUCUGCCUUAGAGGAGGAAUACUUGCUUGCCCUUCAGUGUGAUUACAGCCCAUUUACCAACACUUGUUUUGAAUUUCAGACACAUGCUUUGGAACAUUCACAAGAUGUGUUCCUUUUCAGAGCCUGGAGCACUUGUUUUAUAGCAGAGGGAAACUUCAAGGCGUGGCAAAUCCUGCUGCUCCUGCUUAUUCACCUGUCUCCCUGAGCUCCGUCUGGCUGUUUUGGGAAUGUGAAGUGUUGCUUAAGAGUAAAUGGCUUCAGCAUGAUGGCAGCACCUCUGUCUCCUGCUCCCGAGAGACCAUGGCAGGUGAGGUGUGCAACAUCCAGGUUUGCAGCCACCACCUCCCCAAGCUUUAUGAAGAGCAGUUCCUCUUUUUGUGGGAUGAUUAUGGAUUAUUCCUCAAUCCAGGGGAUGCUACAGCUGCCGUUAUGGGGUGAACAUCCUUACGAAGAUUUUAACGCCUUUGGUGAGUCUGCCUCAGCACAAGAGGACUUCUAUUACUACAGUGUAGUAGCAGGCUUGAUUCACCUUUCUUCAGGAGGCCUGAGGAAAACCACAGCAACUUAACCUUGAGUGCUCUGCACCGUGCCCCUGUCCAUCUGACCACAUCUGGCACUCACAGCCCAGAGACAACUGGCG